UGGGGAAUUUUGGACAAUGGGGGAAACCCUGAUCCAGCCAUCCCGCGUGUGCGAUGAAGGCCUUCGGGUUGUAAAGCACUUUUGGCAGGAAAGAAACGUCGCGGGUUAAUACCCCGCGAAACUGACGGUACCUGCAGAAUAAGCACCGGCUAACUACGUGCCAGCAGCCGCGGUAAUACGUAGGGUGCAAGCGUUAAUCGGAAUUACUGGGCGUAAAGCGUGCGCAGGCGGUUCGGAAAGAAAGAUGUGAAAUCCCAGAGCUUAACUUUGGAACUGCAUUUUUAACUACCGGGCUAGAGUGUGUCAGAGGGAGGUGGAAUUCCGCGUGUAGCAGUGAAAUGCGUAGAUAUGCGGAGGAACACCGAUGGCGAAGGCAGCCUCCUGGGAUAACACUGACGCUCAUGCACGAAAGCGUGGGGAGCAAACAGGAUUAGAUACCCUGGUAGUCCACGCCCUAAACGAUGUCAACUAGCUGUUGGGGGCCUUCGGGCCUUGGUAGCGCAGCUAACGCGUGAAGUUGACCGCCUGGGGAGUACGGUCGCAAGAUUAAAAACUUAAAUGAAUUAACGGGGGUCAUAGCUGUUUCCU
rnacentral:rRNA from 1 species